UGACUGAUAACUAUCUAAAGUUACCAAAUUAAUUGAGAACAUAUUUCUUAUCUAUAAACAAAGUAUUAUAUUUUUUAUAUUACUUACUUAAACAAAUAAAUCCGUCUUUUAAGUACUUACCUGAAGAAUUACAGGUUAUGCUUAUAUUUGUUCAUCCACUGAUAUUGAAUUUCAAAGUUAUUAUGCUCACAAUGUUUCUUGAAGUAAAGAUGUUUUGUAAAUGUUAUUUUACCAUCAUUUUUAUACAUAUAUUAAACUGUUAAUAUUGUUUUUAAAAAUUCUAAUUAAUUUUUACAUAGCCACACAACUGAUGUUUCUGCUAAUAUGAUGCAAAAGUCACAACAUCAGGUAUACUUUUAUACUUUUAACUAAAAAAAUAAGUAACUGUUAAUUUCAUUAAAUAACACUAAAAUAGGUAUAUAAUAAUAAUAUAAUAAAAACUAGAAUUUAUAUUUUUUAUAACAUGUUUUUAUUUUGUAUUACAAUUUAAGUUUUACAAGUUCAUUGUUAUAUAAGCAUAUGUAAUUAGCAAAAUAAAUUGUACAAAAGUACAUUAAACAUACAUUAGGCAUUUGAAGUAUUUAAUUUCAACUUUGAUUAUGUAGACUGAAUGAAAAAUAGACUAUAAUAUACUUUGUAGAGUAACAGGUUCUCAUAUUUAAAAAAUAUUACAUUUCAUAAGAUCAACAUUGUACAAAAUAACAUUUCACUUUUGUAUCGCAUAUAUACUUAUGCAUAUGCAGAUAAUAUUGAUACAUAUUAAAAAUAUUUUGUGCGUAUGUAUUUCAUGGUAAUUUAUAGGCCAAUAGAAUUAUAAUAAAGCAUUAGUAAAUAUAUUAGAAAUUCUUCAAAUAUAAACUAUUAAUGCAUAAAUAAUUCUAAAGUUUAAUGUUUACAUGAAAUAAAUAUCAAAAUAUGCAUAGAAACAAUAAUAAUGAUGGCCUAAGUUAAUCAACUUAAGGUAGUUAAAUGAAUGUUUGAAUAUUGAUGAUACAAAUAGACUCGAUAUUUCAUUCUAAUCAUAUAAUAAAUUAAACAUAUCAAAAUACGAAUACUUAAAGGAAAAAAAUUAAAAUGAUUCGUUUUUUACUUUAAACAUGCAAGUUUAAAAAAUGGUACAGUAACUUCUUUCACGAAAGGGAUUCGAUUUCUGUGAUGAAAAA